CAAAGAGACCUUGAUUGAAACAACUCCUCACUGCAAUCUAACCCCGAACAAAACAUACAUCCUCUCCACAAAUAUUACACAUGGAUAUAGGAUCAACCCAACAGUAAUAUCUAUAAGCCAUAAAGAGAUUACAACUUUAGAUAUUUAUUUAGCUUUGACCUCAGCAUAUUCACAUUACAUGUAAGAUCGUAGAUACUGACUCUUGCUUUUUGUGUUCCAGACAGCAGAAUUUGUGGUUUUCCAGUCCGAUGAAAACUACUUCCCCACAUUUCAGUUGUUCUUAGAAACUGUUGUUAAAGAGUUUGAACUUCUUCUGAAAGAAAAGGGCAGUACUGAAAAUGUAUGGAACGGACUUGUCUGGUUGCCAGCCUCACCAACAGAUGUCACCUCUACAGCCACGCCACCAAGGGAUGACUCAGCAGUGACAACGAGGACUACUGUUCAAGAUCGGAUUCUAGAGACACUGGAGGGACUGGACAAAAAAGAGCUGAAGAAAUUUCAGUGGCACCUGACCCAUUUAAAGAGUGUGAACGGCAUCACUCACAUCCAGAAGAGCGAACUGGAGAAGGCUGAAAGGCACGACAUAGUGGAUAAGAUGGUGCAGCGCUACGGCCCUGAGGAAACUCUGAAGAUCUCAGGGAACAUCCUGACAAAGAUUCACCGCAACAAUCUCUCUGAGAUGUUACAGAAUAAUCACUGAGGAGUUUAAAGAUGACCAGCAGCAGCCAUACCACCCUGCAGCCAAUCACUGCUUUGCUUAAGGGAAACCUGCACUAACUGAAAGUCUUUAUUAGUUUUAAAGUUCUUUAGCAGCAGCAGAGGUCUCAUUAAACGUGAGGUCAUCUACCAGACAACCUACAGU